CAGACACGUCCGCAUGCACACAGGAGAGCGAUGCUUUUCCUGUGUCGAAUGCAAUGCAUCGUUUGCGACUAAAUACAACCUCGUUCAACACAUGCGCUCUCACACAGGAGAGCGUCCCUUCUCCUGUGUUCACUGCGAUGCAUCCUUUUCGCGCAAAGGGAGCCUCGUGACGCACAUACAGACUCACACAGAAGAGCAGCGUCCCUUCUGUGCCCACUGCAAUGCAUCCUUUUCACGAAAACACAUCCUCAUAGGCCACAUUUCCCGCCAUCAUAAAAAUGAGAAGCCAUAAAUGUGACGGGCCUAUGGGCUUUUCUUAAACAAGAGGUGUGGCCGAGAGAGCAGAGUUUGUUCAAUAAAAGUCACUGUGAAAGUUUGGU